GACGCACACAAACCCAAAGGUCAUCACUGAUAUGUGUGAUGGUCCUGCCGUGUGUGCGGAAACCAGGAAGGGUCCCGUCGCCUCCUAUUUGCUGCUGUGCUGAUGGGAGUGAAUUCGGGUCCCGACACAU